UACGGAGGUGGCAAGCGUUGCUCGGAAUCACUGGGCGUAAAGGGCGCGUAGGCGGCCUGUUAAGUCGAACGUGAAAUCCCCGGGCUCAACCCGGGAACUGCGUCCGAUACUGGCAGGCUUGAAUCCGGGAGAGGGAUGCGGAAUUCCAGGUGUAGCGGUGAAAUGCGUAGAUAUCUGGAGGAACACCGGUGGCGAAGGCGGCAUCCUGGACCGGCAUUGACGCUGAGGCGCGAAAGCCAGGGGAGCAAACGGG
rnacentral:rRNA from 1 species